UUGGGAAUUAUAUUCUUUUUUCCUGAAAAUGUCGAGAACAAGGCUGUGAAGCACAUCUUUUCUUCUGGAUGCUGUCGGCAAUGUUGGGAAUGUCUUCAGAGUUGGGAUUUGGACCUGGACCUCCCGCCAUCCCUGGGCGUGUACAUCAGGCUGUGGGCACUGAAGAUGAUGCAGAGCCAUCAGCUUUGAUCUUUGUAGAGCUACACCUUCACCUCUGCCAGUUUUGCAACAGCUGCAGUGGUGUUUGCAACUGGACCAGGUCUGAUUCAGUCUUACAGUUUUGAUGUCUCAAACAAACGUCAGCACCUUUACAAGGAGCACAUUGACAAGUGGAUGAGACAAGCAAGUGGGCUGGAGAAGACAGCUGCC